GGUGUUGUGGCUCAGUGGUAGAGCACUUGCCUAGCAUGUGUGAGGCCCUGGGUUCAAUCCUCAGCACCACAU
rnacentral:tRNA from 1 species